rnacentral:rRNA from 1 species
AGACGUUGGAAAUUUAUUUUCAGUGUCGCAGGGAAACCGAUAAACACACCGCCUGGGGAGUACGACCGCAAGGUUAAAACUCAAAUGAAUUGACGGGGACCCGCACAAGUAGUGGAGCAUGUGGUUUAAUUCGAAGAUACGCGCAGAACCUUACCAACACUUGACAUGUUCGUCGCGACUCUAAGAGAUUAGAGUUUUCGGUUCGGCCGGACGAAACACAGGUGCUGCAUGGCUGUCGUCAGCUCGUGUCGUGAGAUGUUGGGUUAAGUCCCGCAACGAGCGCAACCCUCACUUUUAGUUGCCAUCAUUAAGUUGGGCACUCUGAAAGAACUGCCAGUGAUAAGCUGGAGGAAGGUGGGGAUGACGUCAAGUCCUCAUGGCCCUUACGUGUUGGGCUACACACGUGCUACAAUGGCAUCUACAACAGGAAGCAAAACGGCAACGUUAAGCAAAUCCCGAAAAGAUGCCUCAGUUCGGAUUGCACUCUGCAACUCGAGUGCAUGAAGCUGGAAUUACUAGUAAUCGUGGAUCAGCGUGCCACGGUGAAUGCGUUCCCGGGUCUUGUACACACCGCCCGUCACACCAUGGGAGUUGGUUCUACCUUAAGGCAAGGCUUUAAACCCUUGACCACGGUAUAGUCAGCGACUGGGGUG